CGUGGGCUUGGGAAGGACGGAUGGACGCGGAUUCCAGGCGGCCGCGGAGCAAGGGAACGCUCCCACGGCCUCCACGAAGCUUCCAGAAAACGACGCGGACGCCGGGAGGAGGAGGUGGAGAGGGGGCCUGCCAAGCGGUGCGGCGCCGACAUGACGUAGCAGGCUGUCCGCCGCGCGCCGGUUGAGGUGUCUGUGGCAGGGAGCUGGGGGGUUACCCGAGGUGUUGGCCCCGGGCCCCGGGGGUGGGGCGCCCUGGGGGAGGACGAUUGCGAGACAGUCAGGCAACCCAUGAUUUUAAAGGCGGGUGUUGGGCACCCACAUCGCCCGAGGCCCUUGCCUCGGCCCGUGAGGUCCCUUCGGUUAAUUCAAACCCGACGAGCCUACGAGGGUUUGGGGGCUCUCGGAUUACUCCUGAACGAGUGGGGCUGAAGCUGAAGUUUUUGCUGGGCCGCUUAGUCUUGUAUUUUGUUCAGUUUUGUUCGUGUUGGAAGAGAGAGAGCAACAGCUUGCCAGGUCAUGAGCUAGACUGCUGGGCUCUUGUUACCACUGUUUUUACUAUGGAAGUUCACGUAAGUUAAGUUCAUUCAAUGUUCUUUCACAAAUAAAUAUUAAGCGCUCAUAAGUCAGGGAUGUCUGGGAUAUGUUAAAAGUACUUAAUCCUGUGAUCACCAGGCGCUUUUACACGCUAUGAGGAAAUGAGCACUAGAAGUUGAACCUUUCUAAGUGCUCUCUAAUUCAAAUGCUUCUGGUGCUUUUAUUUUUUUCUUAAGAUUCAUUUACUUAUUUGAGAGAGCCUGAGUGCGUGAGUGAGCAGGGGCAGAGGGAGAGGGAGAUAGAGAAAAUCUAGCAGAAUCCCUGCUGAGUGCAGAGCCCACCAGAGUUUCCAUCUUAUGACCCCGGAAAUCAUGACCCAAGCCAAAACCAAGCUGAUUUCUCUUUUGAAAGGACCAGACUUCUUUGAUGUAGCUCAUAAAUAUCCUGUGAUUACUUGUUAAGACAACUGAUGUGCAAUCAUGGAAACAAGUGUGUGAUGAUAGAAAUAGCAUUAAUUUGGGGAUCCAAAAUCCUGGCUUCAGAGUUCUACUCUGCUACUUAUUAACUAUGUGAACUUGGGAAAGUCAUUUAAGUUCUCUGGGUCUCAUUUUCCUCACCUAUGUAAUAGGAUUAAAUUACAUGAUCUCUAAAGGCUAGACUCUACUAGUUUUAUUAGUGUAAGGAGUAGACCUAUUAGCCAUAAAAGACAGCAGAAUUUGGAAGAUGCCAUUACUGGCUUUUUUGGACAGUCCCCAUGGGUAAGACAGUUGCUUUAAUUAAAAGUUUUCAAGUUCUGGGGCGCCUGGGUGGCUCAGUUGGUUAAGCGACUGCCUUUAGCUCAGGUCAUGAUCCUGGAGUCCCGGGAUGGAGUCCCACAUCGGGCUCCCUGCUCAGCAGGGAGUCUGCUUCUCCCUCUGACCCUCUUCCCUCUUGUGCUCUCUAUCUCUCAUUCUCUCUCUGUCAAAUAAAUAAAUAAAAUCUUAAAAAAAAGAUUAAAAAAGUUUUCAAGUUCUAAAUAUAUCUUUUCUUUUUUUGUGACAAAUUGGAAUUACUUUUUAUCCCCCCAACUUACACAAUAAAUAAGUGCUGAAAAUUUCAUUGCUUAAAAGUGUCGAUAUACAUUAAUUCCCCAUUAGAAUGGGAUUACAUUAAGUAUUAAAACGUGCAAACUUUUGUAUGCUAUGCAAAGCGCUGUUGCUAAUGAAGGAUGGAAAUACUGAAAAAAAUCUUGCCAGAUCCAAGCAGACAUGAAGCAUAUGUGAGAAUUUGGCAAUAUCACUAGCCUUAUAGAAUUUCUCUAAAGAUUUGUAAAGUAGGUUUUAUAAAACAGUAAUACUUGGC
rnacentral:lncRNA from 1 species